GUACACUCCUGCGGGAGGCAGCAGUGGGGAAUUUUGGACAAUGGGCGCAAGCCUGAUCCAGCCAUGCCGCGUGCGGGAAGAAGGCCUUCGGGUUGUAAACCGCUUUUGUCAGGGAAGAAAAGGUUCUGGCUAAUACCUGGGACUCAUGACGGUACCUGAAGAAUAAGCACCGGCUAACUACGUGCCAGCAGCCGCGGUAAUACGUAGGGUGCAAGCGUUAAUCGGAAUUACUGGGCGUAAAGCGUGCGCAGGCGGUUAUGCAAGACAGAGGUGAAAUCCCCGGGCUCAACCUGGGAACUGCCUUUGUGACUGCAUGGCUAGAGUACGGUAGAGGGGGAUGGAAUUCCGCGUGUAGCAGUGAAAUGCGUAGAUAUGCGGAGGAACACCGAUGGCGAAGGCAAUCCCCUGGACCUGUACUGACGCUCAUGCACGAAAGCGUGGGGAGCAAACAGGAUUAGAAACCCUAGUAGUCCCAUGA
rnacentral:rRNA from 1 species